GAACUACACAUCGUUCCAUAAAAUCCAAAUGACCUUGGGUGGUGUAACUCUUCACUAAAAAUGCAAAAUCAAAGCUUUUUAGGGACUUUGUAAUAAAAAUGCCAAAGUUAUUAUUCUGAGACUCAUUAUCAUUUUAAUUAAUUGUAAUUCAGGAGUGCGAUGGAGAUACACAGGGCAUCAAGCACCGACAAUUCAAGAGCUCAUAAUUAUCUAAGGCUAACGUUACUCCGAUUGCUUUCAUGGUUGAGGUUAUUUCGUGGAUAAUCAGUUUAAAUCCAAGGGAGCUGUGCUGGUUAAAAGUUUGGCUGCCAAGGAACCAUUUGCUCUUACCUUGGAUACUUAUUACAAGCAGUAUUAUCUCUGUUUGGCUGCUGCUGCUGCUACUAUCAAAUGGAUGAUAGUGUUAAAUGGAGAGCAUUGCAAGUUAUUUCAAGUUCACUUAGUAUUCACUUAUUAGGUUGUAUGUUUUCUUGGUCAUGGGAGAGGAAGAUGCCCAUGAAUUUUUGAGGCCAGCUGUUUAAACUAUUUCUGGAGGUUAUGCUGCAUCCAUCUAGACAUAUAUUUUAUCAUUUUAAAUGCAUGUAAUGAUAUCCUGUUAAUGGGUGAUU